UUUAAACGUAACUAUAACUUUUCGUGUCUAAUUUUGAUCGUCCAUCUUAUUUAAAAAAAUUGAUUAAUAUUUUUUUAUUAUUAGAUGAUAAAAUAUAAAUAGUAUUUUACGUGUGACUUAUGUUUUUUAUUUUUUUAAAAUUUCUUUAAAUAAAACGAACGAUUAAAGUUGGAUAUAUAAACUCAUGGCUGCACUUGAA
rfam:Oryza glumipatula chromosome 12, whole genome shotgun sequence.